ACAGCAUAUUGUGCCAGAUGCCACACUCAUGUCUGCAGACACCAGAGACGCCCUACGAACUUGUCUGUUCCUCUGCAGUUUUGAUGACAAUAAAUAGAAGGCUGACAUUAAUGAUGUGCUUACCUGCAUCUCCUUGCCUUAAAGGGGUGAUAGGAUAGAAUGAUGAUAUAGGGUAUUUUGUGCUGGUCCUUAAGGUCUCUGAAUAGGGUGUGUAACAUUGGUUGGGCUGAAAAUGGCAUAUGUGCUGUUCUAUGCGCCCUAAUGCAAACCUGGUUAAAAGCCCUAGAAUGAAACGAGAGGUUUUCUUCCUUUUAUGGUAUGCUCAUGAAUAUUUAGAUAAACUGCGUGCUGAUUGGUUGGUUUACAACUAGCGAAGCUCCGGAGCAAAGACGCAAACAUGGCCGACAGCACUCACUGAAACAGCCAAGGUGGAAAUACUAUGGAGACAUAGGUGUUGAACAGCAUAUUUGAGCCUGAAUCAGAGGAAGAAUCUGAAAUAGAGCAGCAACCAGUCGCCCAUAGAUUGGAAAUGACUACUUCAGAGUGGUUAUUAAAAGAAUGACCCAGGUUCCUGAGGAGCUGACCUGAAUGACCAUUAUGGCCUCAAUCCGUUGUGCCUCUAUAUUCUUUGCAAAAUGCAAUGAAUAUUUACAGAGCUGACCAUGGCUGUUUGAGAAUCAGAGGAAUGGAAAGGCAAUGAAGUGACUUGGCCUACAGGUCUUUUGUGAGCAGGAGUUGGGGUUUCCUUAGAGGAAGCGUCCGUGUCAUGAUCCCCUCGUGUGUGGUGCUACGCAUAUGGAGGGAGCUUCCGGAUACUUCAGGGC